CCUACGGGAGGCAGCAGUGGGGAAUAUUGCACAAUGGGCGCAAGCCUGACCCAGCAACGCCGCGUGAAGGAAGAAGGCUUUCGGCUUGUAAACUUCUUUUCACAGGGACGAAAGAAAUGACGGUACCUGAAUAAUAAGACACGGCUAACUACGUGCCAGCAGCCGCGGUAAUACGUAGGGGGCAAGCGUUAUCCGGAAUUACUGGGUGUAAAGGGUGAGUAGGCGGGAGAGUAAGUCAGAUGUUAAAGCCUUGGGCUUAACCGGUGGAUUGCAUUUGGAACUAUCACUCUUGAGUACAGGAGAGGAAAGCGGAAUUCCUAGUGUAGCGGUGAAAUGCGUAGAUAUUAGGAAGAACACCAGUGGCGAAGGCGGCUUUCUGGACUGAAACUGACGCUGAGGCACGAAAGCGUGGGGAGCGAACAGGAUUAGAUACCCGAGUAGUC
rnacentral:rRNA from 1 species